AACGAACGCUGGCGGCAGGCUUAACACAUGCAAGUCGAGCGCCCCGCAAGGGGAGCGGCAGACGGGUGAGUAACGCGUGGGAACGUACCCUUUGCUACGGAAUAGCUCCGGGAAACUGGAAUUAAUACCGUAUGUGCCCUACGGGGGAAAGAUUUAUCGGCAAAGGAUCGGCCCGCGUUGGAUUAGCUAGUUGGUGGGGUAAUGGCCUACCAAGGCGACGAUCCAUAGCUGGUCUGAGGGGAUGAUCAGCCACAUUGGGACUGAGACACGGCCCAAACUCCUACGGGAGGCAGCAGUGGGGAAUAUUGGACAAUGGGCGCAAGCUUGAUCCAGCCAUACCGCGUGAGUGAUGAAGGCCUUAGGGUUGUAAAGCUCUUUCACCGGAGAAGAUAAUGACGGUAUCCGGAGAAGAAGCCCCGGCUAACUUCGUGCCAGCCGCCGCCGUAAGAC
rnacentral:rRNA from 1 species